AUUCCGCUCCAUAGCGUAUAUUAAAGUUGUUGCAGUUAAAAAGCUCGUAGUUGAAUUUCGGGGUCAGUAGGUUGGUCAUGCCACUGGUAUGUACUGGUCUCACUGAUUCCUCCUUCCUGAUGAGCCGUAAUGCCAUUAAUUUGGUGUUGCGAGGAAUCUGGACUGUUACUUUGAAAAAAUUAGAGUGUUUAAAGCAGGCUAACGCUUGAAUACAUUAGCAUGGAAUAAUGAAAUAGGACGUUCGAUCUUAUUUUGUUGGUUUCUAAGAUUGACGUAAUGAUUAAUAGGGAUAGUUGGGGGCAUUAGUAUUCAAUUGUCAGAGGUGAAAUUCUUGGAUUUAUUGAAGACUAACUACUGCGAAAGCAUUUGCCAAGGAUGUUUUCAUUAAUCAAGAACGAAAGUUAGGGGAUCGAAGACGAUCAGAUACCGUCGUAGUCUUAACCAUAAACUAUGCCGACUAGGGAUCGGAUGAUGUUAAUUUUUUAAUGACUCAUUCGGCACCUUACGGGAAAC
rnacentral:rRNA from 1 species